rnacentral:rRNA from 1 species
CCUACGGGAGGCUGCAGUGAGGAAUAUUGGACAAUGGGCGCGAGCCUGAACCAGCCAAGUCGCGUGAGGGAUGACUGCCCUACGGGUUGUAAACUUCUUUUAUAAGGGAAUAAAGUGUGGCACGUGUCCCUUUUUGUAUGUACUUUAUGAAUAAGGAUCGGCUAACUCCGUGCCAGCAGCCGCGGUAAUACGGAGGAUCCGAGCGUUAUCCGGAUUUAUUGGGUUUAAAGGGAGCGUAGGUGGGUUGUUAAGUCAGGUGUGAAAGUUUGCGGCUCAACCGUAAAAUUGCAUUUGAUACUGGGAGUCUUGAGUACAGUUGAGGUAGGCGGAAUUCGUGGUGUAGCGGUGAAAUGCUUAGAUAUCACGAAGAACUCCGAUUGCGAAGGCAGCUUACUAAACUGCAACUGACAUUGAUGCUCGAAAGCGUGGGUAUCAAACAGGAUUAGAUACCCGUGUAGUC